rnacentral:rRNA from 1 species
GAUGAACGCUGGCGGCGUGCCUAAUACAUGCGAGUCGAGCGAACGGACGAGAAGCUUGCUUCUCUGAUGUUAGCGGCGGACGGGUGAGUAACACGUGGAUAACCUACCUAUAAGACUGGGAUAACUUCGGGAAACCGGAGCUAAUACCGGAUAAUAUUUUGAACCGCAUGGUUCAAAAGUGAAAGACGGUCUUGCUGUCACUUAUAGAUGGAUCCGCGCUGCAUUAGCUAGUUGGUAAGGUAACGGCUUACCAAGGCAACGAUGCAUAGCCGACCUGAGAGGGUGAUCGGCCACCCUGGAACUGAGACACGGUCCAGACUCCUACGGGAGGCAGCAGUAGGGAAUCUUCCGCAAUGGGCGAAAGCCUGACGGAGCACCGCCGCGUGAGUGAUGAAGGUCUUCGGAUCGUAAAACUCUGUUAUUAGGGAAGAACAUAUGUGUAAGUACCUGUGCACAUCUUGACGGUACCUAAUCAGAAAGCCACGGCUAACUACGUG